CGGCGAGUGAAGCGGCAACAGCUCAAAUUUGAAAUCUGGCCCUAGGCCCGAGUUGUAAUUUGUAGAGGAUGCUUCGGGUGAUGGUCUCUCCGAGUCCCUUGGAACAGGGCGCCUUAGAGGGUGAGAGCCCCGUACGGUUGGAACCGGACCCCAUGUGAAGCUCCUUCGACGAGUCGAGUAGUUUGGGAAUGCUGCUCUAAAUGGGAGGUAAAUUUCUUCUAAAGCUAAAUAUUGGCCAGAGACCGAUAGCGCACAAGUAGAGUGAUCGAAAGAUGAAAAGCACUUUGAAAAGAGGGUUAAAUAGCACGUGAAAUUGUUGAAAGGGAAGGACUUAUGACCAGACUUUUUCUACGGUGAUCAUCCGGUGUUCUCACCGGUGCACUCUCCGUGGUCAAGGCCAGCAUCGGCUUUGGUGGGGGGAUAAAGGCUUCGGGAAUGUGGCUCCCUCGGGAGUGUUAUAGACCGUUGCAUAAUAUCCUCGCCGGGGCCGAGGUUCGCGCUUCUGCAAGGAUGCUGGCGUAAUGGUCAUCAGUCACCCGUCUUGAAACACGGACCAAGGAGUCGAACAUUUGUGCGAGUGUUUGGGUGUCAAACCCUCACGCGUAAUGAAAGUGAACGGAGGUGAGAGCCUGAAAGGGUGCAUCAUCGACCGAUCCUGAAGUCUUCGGAUGGAUUUGAGUAAGAGCAUAACUGUUCGGACCCGAAAGAUGGUGAACUAUGCGUGGAUAGGGUGAAGCCAGAGGAAACUCUGGUGGAGGCUCGCAGCGGUUCUGACGUGCAAAUCGAUCGUCAAAUCUGCGCAU
rnacentral:rRNA from 1 species